GAACGUGUAUUUUCACAUAGCCAUUAUAUGCUCGUUCUGGGUAAAUAGAAAUUUUCGGAUUUUGUUCCCCGGAUAGUAGUUAUGUAACCAAUUGUGGAACUUUCUUGCUAAUAAUUUUUAAAUGCACUUGUGUAUUUAUUAAUUUAUAACGGCCAUCAAUUAACAAUCAAUUCAGAACUGGCACGGACUUGGGGAAUCCGACUGUCUAAUUAAAACAAAGCAUUGUGAUGGUCCUAACGGAUAUUGACAGAAUUUGAUUUCUGUCCAGUGCUCUGAAUGUUAAAGUGGAGAAAUUCAAGUAAGCACGGGUAAACGGAUGGAGUAACUAUGACACAGCCAAGGGAACGUACUUGGAAUUAUGAGCGGGGAAAGUAUAUGGUAUUUGCACAA
rnacentral:ncRNA from 1 species